CAAAAACAUCUUUUCUUGUUAGUUUUUGAAGUAUGGCCUGCCCACUGACUUUGAGUUGAGGGCCGCGGUAUUUUGACCGUGCAAAGGUAGCCCAAUCAUUAGUUCUUUAAUUGUGAUCUGGUAUGAAUGGCUUGACGAGACGUGAACUGUCUUAGGGGUAUUGUUGUCAUUGAAUUUGGUUUUUGAGUUAAAAUUCUUAGAUGUUUUUAUGGGACGAGAAGACCCUAUAGAGUUUUACAUUUAAAUCUCAUUUGUUUUGUUGUUUGUUUUGAUUUUGUAUUGGGUUGAAGUGUUUUGUUGGGGUGAUGGGAGGAAUUUAUUUAACUCCUCUUUGUUUAAUUGUAUAUUUAUUUAUAUUUAUUUGAUCCAUUUAUUUUGAUUAAAAGGUUAAGUUUCUU
rnacentral:rRNA from 1 species